GUGCCAUUUUUCUAUUUGGAUACAAUUGUUUCAAAAAAUCUCCCCAAGGACCAGUUGGUUAUGGCUGAUGUAGCAACAUAAACUGUGGAACAUCACUUUGAGUAGCACUGUCAUAAAAGAAACUAUGGCAACCACCACUAGGGGAUUGUAUCUCUCUUGCUUUCUUGCAGAAUUCCAUAGAAAUGAUCAGUGUAAUUGGCAGCAGAAAGGGGGAAAGGAUGAUGUUCAGCAAUCAGUAAAGAGAGUAACAGAGAAAUAGGAGCUACAACAGCAGAAAAGGAGGAAGGAACAGUCUAUUGUCUGAGUAAAAAUGUAAAAUGUAAAUUAUCAUCAUCUUCACUAUACUCAUCAUCUCCUGUGGUUAUCAGAAAUAUGAGAGAAGCCAAAAAUGAAAGAUGGCAGAGGCAGGCAGAGCAGAUGUGAUGUCCUCUUUCAUCAUACAUUUUCUCUUGAUUCCAUUCUGCCUCACUGACAUUUUAAUGGCAAGUGCUUGCUUUCAUUUUACAAAAUUAUAGCAUGAGUUCUAAA